GAGGGAGAAGGACAGAGAAGAAGACAGAAAGAGAGACAGUGUUCGAUGUGAGAGCGACACAUCAAUUGAUAGCCUCCGACAUACACCCCAGUAGGGGUUAGGGAUCAAACCCACAACCCAGAACAGUCCACUUAAAGGAGUCAGUCCAGGACAAAAACUGGCCACUCUUUGGCACUGGGUCCAGUAUGCAGAGCUGGUGCGUGGGAAGGUGGAAGCUUCUCAGUAGCAAGGACGAUAUCUUCAUACGUGGUCAGUGUCUGCUGCCAAGGGCUUUGGAGUGAGCUGUGAUGGUGGAGAAUCUGAAUCUGCUCUCUUGGCUGAACCCCCUGCAGGGACUCCACUCUGCCAAAGCCCACGAGGGGCUGCUCCCCGAGUCUAAGGGUUUGCCUGAGACUUGGGGCACAAAAAGCAUGAGCCUCCUGAGCAAGAGGCUUGAGUGAGCUAUUGCCACAAGCACUCCAACCUCUUAAGAGACGCUGCAGAGGCACCCAGUGCAUCGCCCCAGGAAGAACUCAGGAGGAAGAAGCCAAACACGCUGUGAUGAAGGGUUCUGUCCACAGAAAGGCACCGCUAAGCAAGAAUUUAGGGCCUGAAGAGCCUUCAGCACGAGAAUCUUCACUCAGCAGAUCACUGAGCUCUGCUAACCACACAAACGCUUGGUGGUGAAGUCCCGGACGCAGGCACCUGUGAUAUCAGGCCCUUUCCCUCCUCUGAGCUCACUGUUGCAGCGAUUGGAACCUGUUAUUUACAGUGCUGCCCGCCAGCAUGCUGUGCCUUCAUGACGGAGAGCAGUUACUAACGGAGAAAUUUGUGUCUAGGUAGUAUUCUUACUCAAGGAUUCUGAUAUUGGUGUGACACUGCCUUUCCUUUGGGAAUUAGGUUUAUUCAAAGAGUCACUCAGCAUUCUGCUUGCUGGGGGACAUUUUCCUCUCUGAAUCAUAAACAGUCCCUGAAAGCAACAGGAAGGUCUCAGGAACUCAGCAUUUAAAAACAAAUUAAUAUAAAUGUAAUAUUUUAGUUAGAAACCUCUACUUUUACCAAAAUGAUUCUAAUAGAACUCAGUCCUCUAAAGAACCAACAGCCCUGUGAUGGGUUUUGAUGGCAUGUGUUUCAUGUUGAGGACUGGAAAGGGGGCAUCUUUCAGACCCUUGGAGCCCUCAGAAUGAGGGAGCCAUUUCUCUAGAUGCCCAGCCGCCGCAUUCCCCCUUCCCCCCAUCUCAGUCCACAGGACCUGGAAAUUAUAAGUAUGUGCAUACCAACUCAUGCCUUGAGUAUCAAUGGGAUUUGGAAAGUACAGAGAGAAGUAGAGAAACAUCAAGGAAAAUCACCCACAAUCCCAGCACCAGAGAGCCAGGGACACACCUGACAACGGGCACUGAAACCCAGUUCACAGAGCCGCCAGGAAUUCGUGACAUCCCGGGAGCCGCCACAGCUGGACACUGAUGGAGACUUGGAUGGGAGCCAGAGCGAAGUCCUGCU